UAAUCCUAACUAACUAGGUUACCUAACUAGCUAACUAACUGACUAGGUUAACUAACUAAUUAGCUACUAUUUAGCCCACUGACUAACUAACUAGGUUACCUAACUAACAAAAACUAACUAGCUAACUAACUGACAAACAAACUAACUAGCUAGGGCUCUCAAACAGCAUCUUUUAAAUAAUAAUUAAGUUUGCUGCACUUAUAUUCUAAAUUAGUUUUAAAUAAUUCUUAAAAAACAAGCAAUGUCAACUUUAAUUAAUGUAAGGAGGAUAGUAAAAAAAAUUCCUAACCCAGCUGAUUAUGCUUUGUGAAUUUAAGUAGCACUUGAUUUUUUGAGUUUGUUUCAAAUUUCUGUGAAUUAAAAAAAAUUAUAAUGUUGACUUAUUUUUUCUCUACAUCACCUCAACAACCCGGACCAUUCCCAUCUGAGGCACCGAGCGAGAUCUCCAGGAGUGUCUCAUCUCUGACGGCACAGUAGAAAUAACAGCAGCUUUGGGAGCACCGCGUCAACAUCGUCCAGGUGCUCUCCAGCUACCGCUUCACUGAUCUCUCCACCAGGGUCUUCAAGGGGAAAGUGCAGCUGACCACAACCUUCUCAACAGCUGUAGAGAAAAUCCAGGACCUGCGCGUUUCUGACACGGACGUUAGCACCCCGGAGCCAGCGGUGAACUCUGCUACCGGUUCAGUGUUCGAUCUGGAACUCCGGGCGAUCAUGAAGUUAGUGAUGGGCCUGAUGUCACUGAAACCCAAACAAGAGGAAAUCCUGUGUUGGUGCGCGUAUCACGUGACCGAUACAAUUCCUGUAUCGUUUGAUUGUGAACGUGCCAAAUUGUAUUUAUAAGGGAGACAAUAUGUCGACACGUUUGUGGGUUUUGUUGGAUGGAGAUCAAGUACCAUGGAUCAACAAAGGAAGAGGAAGUUUUCUCCCGUGUGGGAUCAUUUAGAUCUAAUCACAGAGAAUAAGAUCAUCAGGAGCUGCUCUAUUAAACAUUAAACAACAGCGAUUGAUGAGGCUGUAGUGAAUAUGAUCAUUACAGACCGUCAGCCGCUUAGCCUUGUGAAAGACGUGGGGUUCCGAGACCUGCUUCAACUCCUUGAGCCCUCAUAUGUUCUGCCAUGCAGAAAGGCUAUCAAGACCAUGAUUAGCCAGAGGUAUGAGCAGAAAAAGGAGCAAGUUAAAAAAGAACAGCAGGGGGCAGUUGCAGUUAGCCUAACAGCUGACAUGUGGACAUCUAUCAACAUGGAGGCUUACCUGGCUGUGACCUGUCAUUAUGUCGACAGUGAGGACCAUACACUGUGUACAUCAAUGCUGGGAGUGCAACACUUUCCUCAACAGCACACUGCUGAAAAUAUGGCCCAAGUAACAAAAAACUUAAUGGAGGAGUGGGCCACAGCAGAGAAAGUGACAUGUCUGCUUACAGAUGCAGCUGCAAACAUGAUUGCAUGUGUCAGAAAGCUCCAAAUCAGACACACGUUCAUUACAUUUAACAGUUCGAAAAGCAUGUGACCAAAUUGAGACAUUCACUAAUACCCGACAUAAAACAAGGCAGAUCGUAACAUAGUUUAGAACCAGUACUACAGCCAAAGAGAAGCUGCCACGAGUCCAGCUACAGAUGGGAGGACCAGUGAAGAACUACUAGAUGGAACAGCACUUAUUUAAUGCUGGAACGCAUUGUGAACAGAAGGAGUCGGUGCUGGUAUCUCAGGCCUCUUUAAAAAGUGAUAUACCCCCGCUAACUACAGAUGAUUACAAAAUCAUACAGGAGACACUCUGUGUGCUUGCUCCAUUUAAUCAAGAGUAUCUGGAUCAAAAGUAAUUCCAAUGAUUAAAAUGUUGCACCACUCACUUCAACGCAAUGCGUUCCCAGAGGACCCAAUCUCAGAGUCUGACCAACACAUGCCUGUAAAAUCUGUGCCUAAGGACCCCGCCUGCACAGAAUCUCAGCUGAGCGUGUCAGCCCUAAAGGACUGUACGUUUUUCUAUUCAUUGUUCCACUGGUUUUCUUGGUAAGUUAGCUUUCAAUUGUUUGCUCUUACUGUAUCUUUCUCAUGUAAUUCAGUGAGUGUUUUGAUUGCCACAAAUCCUACUAAAUCCUAAA